AAGCGGUGGAUGAUGUGGAUUAAUUCGAUGCAACGCGAAAACCUUACCUACCCUUGACAUGUCUGGAACCUUGGUGAGAGCCGAGGGUGCCUUCGGGAGCCAGAACACAGGUGCUGCAUGGCUGUCGUCAGCUCGUGUCGUGAGAUGUUGGGUUAAGUCCCGCAACGAGCGCAACCCUUGUCACUAGUUGCCAUCAUUUAGUUGGGCACUCUAGUGAGACUGCCGGUGACAAACCGGAGGAAGGUGGGGAUGACGUCAAGUCCUCAUGGCCCUUAUAGGUGGGGCUACACACGUCAUACAAUGGAUGGUACAAAGGGUCGCCAACCCGCGAGGGGGAGCCAAUCCCAUAAAGCCAUUCGUAGUCCGGAUCGCAGUCUGCAACUCGACUGCGUGAAGUCGGAAUCGCUAGUAAUCGUGGAUCAGAAUGUCACGGUGAAUACGUUCCCGGGUCUU
rnacentral:rRNA from 1 species